rnacentral:lncRNA from 1 species
CCUCUUCCCCUUCCUCCCAACACACAGCUCUACCUCCCACUCACUUUGCAGUGGACUUUCUUUAGAAGGUCUCUUUUAGAUUUUUCUUUUUCAUCACACAGAGACGCUGCCAUGAAUGAAGAGUCUUUCUUCUUACAAUUGAAGACUUCAGCUUCAAAAAAAUGAGAUAAAUUCAUUUUCUCCUCUCUAAGCCACCAGAAGCAGUUCCUGGUCUCCUGACUCUACUGUGUCACUUCAGGGCUUUGGAACAUGCUUUCCCUCUGCUGGAAGACAUCUGCAGCCACCUCAUCUCCCUCUUCCUUCAGUGCUCUGAGAGAGGUUGUAACAGCUUUGGGACGCUCUGGGAUCCCUGUUCCACUUUGCCUUUCCCUGCCUUCAUCACCCCCUUAAUUAUGGACAUGAACAGUCUUCAGGUCAAAGAAAAAUAGAUGGAGUUUCCCCAUGUUGCCCAGGUUCGUCUAGAACUCCUGGACUCAAGUGAUUUGCCUGCUUCGGCCUCCCAAAGUACUGGGAUUACAGGUGUGAGCCACUGCACCCGGCCUGGAGAGCUGUCUUUAGGGUGGUAGCUGAAUGUCAUAUUCCUGGACAGACCUGACCGCAUGGAAUGGCACAGUCUCUGGGACCCCUGCCUGCCUUUUCUUUCUCCCUCUCCACUUAGAAACUUCACCCCAGACUGGGUUCAGGAAUAGGGCUUGGUACCCAAUAUAGGGCCUAGUAUACAGUAGGUGCUAAAGGUGUUCACUGAAUGAAUGAUUAAAACAUGAACCAGUCAGGGAGGAGACAAAAGAGGUAGGACUCAGGACUGGGCAGAGACUGGGGACACGGGUGGAUAAAUGGUAGAGGCUUAAAGGGGUUCUGUGUCUUGGGACAGAACAUAUAUGCCUGUGACUCAUGAACAUAAGCCUCAGCUUCUAACUGCAGUAUCUGGCAUAAAUGGUUCCAUAGUUCACAAUGUAUGCACAGCCUGACCCCCAUUCAAGGGGCAGGCAUCCAGGGACAGCAGUUCAGAGGACUCUGGUCUCAAGCUGGAGGAACCAUAUGAUCCCACGCUCCCAUUUUUAAAUGAGGGCGAGUGACAUUGCCAAGGUCACAGUGGGUUGGAGCAGGGCCCAUCUCCAGGUCAGGUUCUCCUGGCUCCACCUGGUCCCCUCCAGGGGAUUUAAAGAGGCAGCUUUUCCUGGAUGAAGACUGAUUGGUGACUGUGACUCAUUAGCACAUGAAACCAGUCAGACCUGGCAUGGCUCUGCCCACCCUCUUUCAAUCACACCCAGCCCUGGAGCCUCUUCUAACCUAUCCUCUAGUUCUCCAACUACACUGCCUACUAGCCACCUGGAAUCCUCAGCCUUUUAAAGAAGAAGCACUUGUUUUGCUUGAAUCACCUCAGAAGGCCCCUAUUUUAUUUUAAUUAUUUACACUCAAAUUCCGGAGACACUUGUGACAGCCCAGUGUCUCAUUCGUCUUUCCACAGACACAACACACAGUAGGUGCUCAGUAAGUUUGGUGUUGGGAGGAGGUAGGAAAAAGAUGAACAGAACUCUAGGCAGUCUGGGGAGCCCUGAGCUUUACUGAGCUUUGUUUGUGAGUUUUCUCAGCAAAGCCCCAAACUGGAUAGUCUGGCAAGGAGAACUGCCUUUAUGUGCCUAUUAGCCAAGCAAAAAGUGUUUGCUAUUAGAUCUUCAUUUAUAUCAAAUAUGUGCAAAGGACUAAAGUAGACUCCCAAGUGAAAUGAAAAUUAAGUUGUUAGACAAACUUAGGGAAUGGGAACUCCAGCUGGAACAAACUUAUGAGACACUUGUCUUUAAAUACUAAUUUUUAGAGAUGCAAGUGCAAACUUCCUUCAAUAAUAAUCUAUGACUCAAUUUACUUCCAUUCUAAUUCAGGAGUUAAAUCACACAUCCAUAAACAGUCAAGAGCAGCUUGUAACAUCACUGGCAUGUGGACAUCCCGUGAAUUGUUUAUUGAUGGCUCUUUUGGAGUAGAGUCUACAAAAUUACGUCUUCAGUUACUUAAAUUUUUCAAAUGAGGGGAAAAAGAAAAACACCAACCUUUCAACCAUACUUCAAAGAUGGCAGCCAAGGUGCUUUUAUGUCAUAACUAAAGCCAAAGAGGAUCUUAAAGAUUCCUAGCCUACAUUUUCAAUAUCCCAUAGUGUUUCUUAUAAUUUGAAGUGAUGUCAAAGUUUGCUCAAACACAAUUAAGUAUGCUUUAGCUUCAAUUUUAUCUUUCUUCCUUCCCUCCCUUCCUCCCUUCCUUCCUUCUUUUUUUCUCACUCUUGUUGCCCAAGCUGGAGUGCAAUGGCUCGUUCUCGGCUCAUUGCAACAUCUGCCUCCCGAGUUCCAGUGAUCCUCCUGCCUCCCGAGUAGCUAGGAUUACAGGUGCCUGCCACCAGCCUGGCAAAUUUUUGUAUUUUUAGUAGAAACAGGGUUUUACCAUGUUGGCCAGGCUGAUCUUGAACUCCUGACCUCAAGCGAUUCACCCGCCUCAGCCUCCCAAAGUGCUGGGAUUACAGGUGUGAGCCAUCGCGCCCAGCCUAGCUUCAAUUUUCAUACACACACACGCACCUGUGUGAUGACUGAUUACUGACAUUUUUUGCAUCACUUUUGCUAGAAGUUUUCUUGUGGGAUGAAAACUACUGAGAAAUUAAACAAGUAGGCAUCUCAUAUCCAAAUGUUGUGGACCACUGGAAUUGCCCUUAAAAUAAAAAAAAGAAUUACAAAAUAAAAAUGAUCAAAUAAGACAAAUAUGAAACACUUUUUUAUAGAGAGGAAAAUUGUUAUUAGUGGAAAUAGAAACAGAAACAGGUCCUAAAAGCUUUCAAUGUUUGGCUACAAUUGUUCCAUGGUGUUUAAGGAUAUUUUGGGAAAUAAGAUAACAUUACUUCAUAAGUCACUGGGGGAAGUGUGAUGAAGUGGACCAAGCUGAGACCUGGGUUUUAACUGUGUCACAUAAAGGGGGCAGGGGAAAGAAGGUUAAAAGCAGGGUGGAACUGUUUGAUGGGGUCUUGGGGGCCUCAGUGUUUGAACUUCAGCAGGGAGUGGGAGCCACAGAAGAUUUUGAAGAGGAAAUGGGAGAAGGUGGGGUCUCCGCUUUGGCAGAACACACCAGUAACCUGGUGGAGAGAGACUGGAGGAGGUAGACAAAAGGCAAAAAGCCCAAUUCAGAGGAUUUAGCAAUAGCUGAUGUACAAAAUACUGAAGACACGUGAGCUGAGGUAAAGAGGAUGAGAUAGAUGGGGAAGUACUUAUAUGGAAUUCUCUAAGUUCUUGAUGAAUGAUAAUGGCAGAUAGGUAGGAGAUAAAAGAGGAAAUGAAAAACAGCUUUAACCUACCUGGGAGGAUAAUGAUCCUUAAACCCUCCAGUGCUGAGCUGGCCUGUAUGGUAGCCACUGACCACAGGUCUCUAUUGAGCACCUGAAAUGUGGCUAGGGCAACUUUCUGAAUUGAGAUGUGCUGUAAUGAUACCAUCAAAACCUAUGUCAAAGACUUGGUACCAAAAAAAAAGAAUGUGAAAUAUCCUGUUGAUAAUGUUGUAUAUGGGUUACAUGUCAAAAUCAUACUAUCUGGAUAUAUUGGGUGAAAUAUAAUAUAUAAUUAAAAUUAAUUCUACCUUUUACUCUCUUUUUUAAAAAAUUUAGCUACUAGAAUAUUUAAAAUUGCAUCCAUGGCUUCAUGGCUCACAUCUUAUUUCUUUCUUUUUUUCUUUCUGAGACGGAGUCUCACUCUGUUGCCCAGGCUGGAAAGCACAGGCACAGUCUCGGCUCACUGCAACCUCCGCCACCCAGGUACAUCUUAUUUCUUUUAGGCAACGCUGCUCCAGGGGCUUCCCAUCGUGC